ACGCUCUCACGCCGGCUGCUCUGUGCUCUCUCGUGCCCAAGCCCUUGCCUCUGGCCCCGGGCAUGUGUCAUGUGCCUCCUUCACACGGGCGGGUCGGGGAGCAGGGCCAGCGAGCAGAGCGGAGAUGGGAACCCGGCACUGCUGCGUCCGCCCCUGGCCUGCUCCGGGAGGCAGCCUCAGCCGGCGGGGCCCGGGACCAGGUGCUGGCAGGGAGCAGGGCAGCCGGAGUGGCGGGCCCGGCUCAGCAGGGGUGUGUUGAGACUGACUUCUGCUGGUUUCAGGUUCCCCUCCCUGGAAGCACGGGGAGUGGGGGGGGGGGGCGGCUGGAGGCUCAGGUUUCCCCCCACCAUCCUCUGCUUCUUUGGUGCUGGCAGUGAUUGGCCGUGGCCAUGAUGUCAUCGCCUAAUCCAAACAGAAGGGGGGUUGGUGCUGGCUGGCGUCCCCAUGCUGAGUGCAGCAGUAAAUUUCAUUUCAAGGCUAUGAUUAGGACGGUGCCCAAGAAUUUCCUUUCUCUCUCCCUCCCUCUCCCCAUCCUAUUUUUCUUCCUAUUCCCCUGCCUCUCCUUCCCUCGCCUCCUCUCCCCUGGCCCUCUCUUCUCCGGGAUGCUGAAGGUUCGCCCGGUGGCCAGCACCGGUCCAGGCUCUUGCCGCCUCCCGUGAGGCUCCGUGACCAGCCCUGGCAUGUACGGGCUCAGUCCCAGCCCCGAGACAGCACCCAGGGAGUACGGGGUGAGAAUCCCUAAGGGUGCUCGUUCAACCUUGAGCUGAAACGCCAGAACAACAGAGAGAGCAGGGGUGGGGUAGCCCUGGUCAUCAACGAAAAGAUCGGAAGACAGCAGAGCCAUGAGAGGCAAGGAGGAACGCAGCUCCUUAGAAAGUUAUGGCUCAUUUGUUCGUUCAUCGAUUCGGUGAGGAUGUGUUGGGCACCCGCCAUCUGCCAGGCCUGUGCAGGUGCCGGGCGCCCAGAGGGAACAGACGUGGCCCGGUUCUUCCUCCAGCAGCAACCAGCCGUUAGCAGAAACGCGGACAGAAACAAGAACAAGCAGCAUACUCACAUGGAGGGAGAGCCACCCAUCCCCAGCUUCCAGAACCAUCAGCUCAUCAGCACCGGCCCCAGUGGGAUCUUCUGAAGCAAAUCCCAGAUGUUGUAGUUCCUGGCCAUAUGCCCCGUCAGGGUCCACUGAACCAGGCUGCCCGGUGACUUCUGCUUGUGACCCAGAAGGCCUCUCUGCCCUGAACCCCCUCCCUUGGACACCAGGGUUGGAGGAGACCCAGGUAAGCACUUUCUUCAAGAGCUCAAGGCCCUUGGGAAUGAGCAGAAAAGGGGGCUUUCCAGCCAGCGGGAGGGACAAGAGGAGGACGCCCUCCUCCUGGAGGCGGGUAAGGAAGGCUCUUCCCACCUGGGGAAGCCCAGGUGCCCUAGUGUAACCGUCUGGAUCUUUGGGCUUUAAGGAAUAAAUAUCCAGGUGGGAUGUUUCGCCAAAGUGGGCUUUAUUGGAAGGAAGCAGAGAACGUGGUGAGACUGACAGGUGCAGCUGUGCAUCCGGGACCCGAGAGCCCCCAGGGCUCCUUCCCCCUUCCUCCUCUUGCUCCCCUGGGUGACUCAGCUCGGCCCCUCGCCUCUCCCUGGCUCUCCUGGUCCGGCUGCUCCCCUACAACCUGCCGGCCCUUUGGUUCAAAGCCUGUCAUCCAGUUCAUUCUCUGCUAGGGUCCCGUUCUUAUCAGCGUGGAUCUGACCGGCCAGCCAGGGUCAGGCAGCUGGACAGGGCCUAGAUCUGAAGGACAGGCCUGCUCAGAAGGGGAGUGGGAACAGCCCCUCCAAGAGGGAGGGAAGGCAGGGCCCCCACAGGAGACACUCGGGCGGGGAGGGGGACAUGAGGCUCUUGACUCCCUGCCUGGGAGGCCCUCAUACCCUUGAACCCUGUGGCAGAGGGAGAAGGCAUUCAGGGGGUGGGCCUCUGGAAGGCCAGACGCCAACCCCCUGGCAUGGUGGCCUGGGAGAGGUUUGGUCUGCCAGAAGGGCGCCGUGGGGCCUUGGGACGUCUCAGAACCUGAUGGGGGAGAGAACCUUAUUCAAGCUGGAUGAGGUCCAAACCCUGGCCUUGCCCGUGGCCACAGCCCCUGGGGCAGCUGUGGAGGCCAGCAGCUGGCCCAGGCUUGGACGUCGCCUGAAAGGCAUGUCCGGGGCUGCUACUCCCUAAUCGGCUGCCAAGCAAAAUAUUUUCUGCAGGUUCCUUGUGAGCUGAGAAUGAAAACACAGCACCCAGCAGGGCGGGGUGGGGGUGGGGGUGAAAGGCCUGGCUUUCUCUGAGGGUCCGGAAGACACUGGGGGAUGGCGUCACUCAGGCACAGCUGGACGGCCAGGCCUGGAGGCCCAGGGGGUGGGGCAGGUGAGCAGAGACGCCGAGGGUGGGGAGCGCCCAGGACCGGGGCAGAAAAUGGGAUUGUUGGAAAAGUUGUGUGCUCUAAAAAGGCCAAGACGACAUGACUCAGGCUGAACCUAAAAAUUCCAGGGAGGAGGGCACUCGACAGGACUUCUUGGUUGCGGGGGGGGGGGGGGGGGGGGUCCUGCAGGAACUGUGGCUUCAACAAAACAGAACAAGCAUAACAACUUCUAACAGGCCAAGGCUUCAAAGUUCAGAUGAACAGAAAGAAAAAAUACAACGGGUCGUAGGAUCGGAAAGAAACAGCGUUCAUAUUUUGGCAUCUGGCAUCCAUUUCUAAAGAGUGCGUGUGUGCGUGCGUGUGUGUGUUUUCAUACACAGGGGAACACACGGAGAGCAAGUGACGUUGCACGUUCUAUUUCGUAGCUUGCUUACUGUAAACCCGGGGAAGGUAUCGCGAACAUCUUUCGGUGCCAUCAAAUGGCUUCCCGCAGCAUCAGUUCUAACAUCUGCAUGGCAUUCUGGUGUAGACUGUCCCCGGGAGGCAGGAAGAAGUUUCCAGGGGCGGCUCCAGGCUUCAUGGUCCUUAUAGCUCCCGGUCCCAAAGAGGAAGCAGGUGGCCUCAGCCGUUGCUAUGGCAAAAGACCCAAGGAAGGCUCUGAUUGGCCAGGCUUGGAGCCUGUGCCCAUCCUUGAGCCAAUCACUGUAGCCAGUGGAGUGAAGGGCCGUGACUGGCCAGGCCUGAACCACGUGCCCAUCCCGUAGCCAGGAGGGGGGUGAGGGAAAGGAUGCUUAGCAGACAGAAAGCAUAGAGCUCCCCCCGCCCCCCGACGGCCGACCAAAGGGCCAAGAGACGUGGUCCUUAUCCGGAAGAGGCUUAUAGUUCGAGGAGACCCAUAAACACACAGGACCCACCGAAACAAGGGGUAAAUGCCCAAAUGCCCAAUAGCGGGGGAGGUUGCAGGUUGCAGAGCAGACCUGUGUCGGGGUCCUCCUUCCACCAGGACGUUGGCCAAUCUCCUCACUUCUCCGGACUCGGGUGUCCUCAUCCGUAACACGGGAACGAUGGCCUGUGCCGCACCCGUCGGGGUACGGGGAGACCGGCCCUCGCGGGCACGAGCGAGAGUGCAGUCUGGAGCCUGGCACGUAGCGCGGGCUGGGUAGGUGGGAGUUAGCGGGGCUGGAGAAGUGCCUGGAGAAGCUUCGGUGUGCAGGGUGGAUUCGUUGUAACGAGAGGUGGAAACAACCCCCAGUGUCCGUCACUGUGAUGGCCGGAUAGGGACGUGGGUACCCGUAAAGUGGAUACUAUGUGGCCACAGAAAAGCACGAAGCACUGACUCCUGCUACGACGGGGAUGAGCCUCAAAACCGUGCAAGGAGCCGGCCACACACACAGCCACGUACUGCACGAUUCCCUCCACCCGACGGGUAAGC